UCAGACAUAAAACCAGAUCUAGUCUUCUCUCUCUGUCUCUCUCUCUCUCUCUGAGAGUUAACCAUGGACAGCAUCAGAUCUGGACUCUACGGUCAGAUCUUCCGUCCCGAUAACUUCGUCGUCGGUCAGUCUUGUGCUGGAAACAACUGGGCAACAGGUCAGUACACCGGUUGGGGGGGGGGGGGGGGCUGAGUUUGAUCGAUUUGGUUCUCGAUGUGGUGUGAAAGGAGGCGGAGAACAAUUUACUGCUUGCAAGUAAGGAAAAGAUCGUCUCCCAUCACUUGUCAGCCGUUUUCAAUCUCACAAAAGAACUCGAAGCCGCCAUUGACGUGUUUCCAAGCUCUGCGUCGAGGUCCAAACGACGUUAUGGUCAAGCCAAGGAGGGAUUCUCGAUGAACGACCCUCCUAUUUGAAGCCUUCAGCUUUGUUUCUUUUCUCUCUGGAUCUGACCCGUAGCCGCUUAAUCUCCACGCCUCUACCGAUCGUUAGUUGAGGCAAAGAGGUUCUUGUGCUGGCCACACCUACCUAUGAUUUUGGCAGGAGUUUAGCUUGCAUGGAAGCCUCGGAUGACCGUCUCUCUGUCUUCUCUACUUAUCAUUUUCUCACCAAUUCCACCUUUGAGUUUUGAAAGCACAGGUUAGUGCAAUUCAUUUGAUAAUUGGGGCUCUCCAGAGGAUGCAUUUAUUUGGUGUUGAGAACAGAGAUACUUUAAUUCACAAUGCCAUGGAGAAUAGAAACCUGAUAACAACUCCAAAACUAUUUUGAAGUGUGAAAUAGCAAGAGUUUGGGAACAGAGAUAAUUUAACUCACAAUAUCACGGGUUGAGGAUGUUUAAGGCCAUGACGCACCAAUACAAGGGCUUGUUGAUUCAAUAGCUGGACCUUUUGUAUACAGUAUAAUGACUGGGCUACAAUAUUUGCUUUUUGAAACAAAGGGAGUUGGAAUCAGAUCGCAUAGAAAAGUUGCCGGAGGUGGCAGAUGCAGCAUGGAGAGGAACAUGCAGAGAUUUAGGUUUUUUGAUGUUGUAUUAUAUUUGAAAUUGUGGGAGAAUUGUACAAUACAUUCUAUAAAUACGUGGUUGUGGCUAGAUGAAAUUGUUAUUUUUUUUAUAUAUACUCCCAAUUUUGCCACUGAUGUUGGUGGCAUUGAAAAAACACACUGAUUCUGUAACAGUGGGAAAGAAAGAGGUGUAUUACUGCAUUGGGUUUUGGGAUGCCACUGAUGUUUUAUCAGUGUGGAUUGCCCCAAUAGCACCUGCUAUAGAGGGGACUGAUAGGGAAUUAGUGGCUGCAUAGUGGCUAAUGGCAUUAGCCACUGUUAUCAGUGUGCUUUGUCCCAAUAGGGACUAAUUCAAAUCAGUGUGCUUUGGGGAAA